GACGAACGCUGGCGGCGUGCUUAACACAUGCAAGUCGAACGGAAAGGCCCUGCUUGCUGGGUACUCGAGUGGCGAACGGGCGAGUAACACGUGGGUGAUCUGCCCUGCACUUUGGGAUAAGCUUGGGCAACUGGGUCUAAUACCGGAUAGCAGCUAUCUCCAGCGUGGUGGUUGGAAAGUUUUUUCGGUGUAGCAUGAGCGGGCGGCCUAUUGGCGUGUUGGUGGGGUAAUGGGCUACCAAGGCGGCGACGGGUAGCUGGACUGGGAGGGUGUACGGCGACCUUGGGACUGAGAGACGGCACAGACUGCGAAGGGAGGCAACAGUGGGGAAGAUUGCACAAGGGGCGCAGGGCUGAUGAAGAAGGGCUGCGGGGGGGAUAAACGUCUUCGUGUUGUAGAAUCCUUUCGCUAGGGAAGAAGCUUUUUGUGACGGUACCUAGAUAAGAAGCACCGGCUAACUACGUG
rnacentral:rRNA from 1 species